rnacentral:rRNA from 1 species
AUUGAACGCUGGCGGCAGGCCUAACACAUGCACGUCGAACGAGUGGCGGACGGGUGAGUAAUGUCUGGUAAACUGCCUGAUGUAGGGGGUUAACUACUGGAAACGGUAGCUAAUACCGCAUACCAUCAGAUGUGCCCAGAUGGGAUUAGCUUGUUGGUGGGGUACCGGCGCACCAAGGCGACGUUCCCUAGCUGGUCUGAGAGGAUGACCGGCCACAGUGGAACGGAGACACGGUCCAGACUCCGACGGGAGGAAGCAGUGGGGAAUAUUGGACAAUUGGCGCAAGCCUGAUGCAGCCAUGCCGCGUGUAUGAAGAAGGCCUUCGGGUUGUAAAGUACUUUCAGCGGGGAGGCGUUACCCGCAGAAGAAGCAACGGCUAAAAACGGGCGAGCAGCCGCGGUAAUAC